CGUCUCUUCUUAAAAACUUUCUCUCCCAAUUUUUUCUUUGGAUCUCUUACUUUCUCAUUGACGUCUUCUCUCUUAAGACUAUUCGUUCAUCCUAAACCUUCCCUCUGCCAUUCUUCUGCAACAAACCAUGGAUGUUCAUCAUCAAAUAUCAGACUUCAAUACGGAUGUCACAAGGCUUUUUCCGCCUGCUAACCAAGGUUUUCGAGUAUUUUACUUUUCUUCUUCGCUGAAAAACGGUUGUCGUAGUUUCCACCAUGACGGUUUUCGCUUUCCAACGAUUUUCACUGACAAGGUGUUCGGUACAAAACCCUAACCCUAUUUUCCAUUUCUCUAAUUUAUUUUUCUUUGGUUUUCUCUACAUUCAUGAUAUUUGAUUUUUCAAGGAUGAAUUUUUACAGUUUAUGUCCAAAUUAUUAUUUUUAGUGUUUAGGUUUUGAAGAAGUAAGGCACAUCAGGUAUGAUUUUUAAUUACAUGUUCUUAGUUUUACUGAACACGCUCUGUUUUUUAUUUUGUGAGUUAAGCUUUACUUAUUUUUUGAAUUCUUAAGUACGGGUUUGUUUAAUUUUGAGUCAUCCCAUCUCGGCUCAAACAGCGGAGAUUAAUGUUGAUUGACAUAAGAAAAAAUCUUAUGGAGACCAAGCUAAUAGGAAGCAAGUUAUUAUGUCUUUUUUCAUUACCUAAGCCGAAGUGUAUCCAACAUUGGGUUGAAAGAUGAUAUGAGAAAGUUUGUUAUCUGUUUUCAGCUUUAAUGUCCUUCUUCCACAAAGGACAUCCAUUAACGUUGGUACCACCUACUAUGUGCAAGAAGCACAGUUCUUCUCAAGGAGCGUGUAUCCAUGGUUUCCAAGGUAUUGUGUUGCUCAUGGUUUUUAUUGUCUAAUCUCUAUCGGCUUAUAUUAUGCUCAUUUGCCGAAGUGUUCUGUUGGCUACCGUGGUGGGCCUUUUUGUUUCUCAUUGUUUUCCCCGGUUAGGAAUAGGGAUGUAUAGGGAUGUCAGAUGUGAAUUGUGUUUUCCAGUUUUCCAUGUAGUAGGAAGAAGUAUGCGAGGAGCGUUCCCAUCGUACAUCAAAAUUGGUUUAUUCUGGACAUCUUUUUCUCCCUUUUGUCUUUUUUUUACACAUUGUUGUUGGCUUUUAUAGGAAAGUUGGAUUAUACGAUGACACCUAAUAACAAGUUGCCUUCAGAAACUUGGUGAAGCAAUAGAUAUGAACACAAUAUUGACACGUUAAAGAUAAAGAUAACCUGGAGGUGAUGUUUGGUUCUAGCUUAAACUAUGCAUGAUGUUGGAAGAUGUCACCUAUUUUCUGACAUCCACUGAACACCGAAUAACAAGUUGCCUUCAGAAGCUUGGUGAAGCAAUAGAUAUGAACACAAUAUGGACACGUUAAAGAUAAAGAUAACUUGGAGGUUAUCAUGCAUAAGGUUAGAUUCCAGGAGGCUGCAUCCAUGACAGACAAUAUUAUAGGCAUGGUCAUAAAUAUCCAAUUGCAAAGUAUAACAGAAGCGGCUAAUCAUGGUGGAGGAUUUGGUGUUUAUCAUCCCCAAAUGGGAGAGACGGAGAGGUUUUAUUCUACACAUUUUGUAGCUGGAUUUUCCAAUGUCAGUUUAUCUUGCAGUAAAGGAAAAAAAGAUGUAGUAGUAACCCGAGUUACAAUCAUAAUAACGGAGGGAGAUUUCUUUCAAAACUGUGAUUGUACUUAUUGAUUAAGUUUACAACACGCAAUAGUCAUGGCUGGGGCACUUUUUUGGGAUUUACCUCCAUAUUUAAACUCCAGAGAAUUAAGUCUGAAAUCGCUAGGUGAAGAGACUUUGGUGCAACUGAUGGAGUUGGCUUUGAUAUGGAUGCUCAGCGAAGAGACUUUGGUGUUGGUAUUACAGAAUGAAUGUAGAUGUAUGUUUAGGACAUGAUUUUAGAAGCGGGUUAUGGGACUGAAGUUUGACCUGUUUAUGGUGCAUUUUAGUAGUUGCAAGUAACGCUUUUGGUGCUGUGUUGGUGUUGCAUCUGUAUCAUUGAUUGUGAACAUGGAAGAAUUGAAGACUCGGGUCUGGUGUUGGGUCUGUGUUGUUGCAGUAACUGGAGUUGGUGCAAAUUGAGUUAAGAAGCUGGGAAUGGAUAGGAAGUUUUGGUGGGGUUUGUGAUUGAGUUUAAAUGGCAGGCAGAGAAGGCUGCUUGAGUUAAGAUAAUAGUUAGGAUCACAGAUAUAAAGUAGAAGUGGCAGGAACAAAUAACUCAAGUUGAAAAUGCAUUAAAGGACUGAAAAAGGGAACGAGCUUGGAUUUAGAUGAAGAAGACAUAGAUCAAAAAAAUUAUCUAAGAGAUUGAAUAUUUUAUCUGGAUUGAAAUAUUAAAAAGAUUGCAACUGCCUUCCUGCAGUUGGUUUCUUUACUGCCACUGUGUAUAAACAGGAGUUGCCACGUUCAAGCUAAAGAAGACACUAAACUAUCCACCAGUUGCUUCUACUAAAGCUUUUUUUUAAAUGGUUAUUUUCAUAUUCAUGGUAUUUAAUGUUAUAUCCUACGAACAGUAGCAUCAUGUUCUUGAAAAGAGGCCGUGCUGGACACAUCGCCUAUUUAGAAAACUAAAUGUCUUCGUAGACAGGAUAGUGGUGCGUCUACUUCAAAAACCGAACGACUUCGACAGGCUGGUGCUGCUGCACAGGCAGGAGAAGAACGAGAACGGGUGUAAGUAAAAUUUGAAGAGGGAAGAAAGCUUCUUCAAAACAACACUCUCAAGUCGGCUUUCGUGUAUGACCAUUCUGAAAUGGAAUCUCCUAAGAUAAACUUUUGUAAGACAAGUGAUGAUGGUUAUAUAUGCAUCUCCGCAUACUGUUCUACUAAUUGUAAUGUGGAAAGGUUUAUAUUCUACCAUCGUGCUCCAUCCUAGGCUACUAUGGAUUCUUAUAUUGUGAUUUAUGUUCUUAGUUUGGGUUCUUAUAUAUAUUUUUGGUCUUUGUCUAA